UAUGGUAAGCCGCCGCGGUAAUACGGAGGAUCCGAGCGUUAUCCGGAUUUAUUGGGUUUAAAGGGAGCGUAGAUGGGUUGUUAAGUCAGUUGUGAAAGUUUGCGGCUCAACCGUAAAAUUGCAAUUGAUACUGGCAGUCUUGAGUACAGUUGAGGUAGGCGGAAUUCGUGGUGUAGCGGUGAAAUGCUUAGAUAUCACGAAGAACUCCGAUUGCGAAGGCAGCUUACUAACCUGUAACUGACAUUGAUGCUCGAAAGUGUGGGUAUCAAACAGG
rnacentral:rRNA from 1 species